GGCUCUGGACAGAUGCUUCUGCUGCCUGAAGCUGAGGAGGCCGCUCUCCGCCUGGCUCUGCCGGCUCCAGCAGCAGCCCUCCCCUCGGGGGACACCUGCAGAGGCCACGGAGCUUGGGUCCUGAGGGCCAUCUGGUAAAGACAAGGCUCACCAGUGAGAGUCCUCAGCACCACCAUGCCCAUGCUAUUGCUACACAGCAGCUGCCAGCCUUUUCCUUGUUCUUUCAAUGCAAAAUCAGUCUCUUAAGAUGCCGUCAGAGAAACCACAAUUGACCCUUGCAGAAAUACUUUCCGACUAGCUCUUCUGAAGCCAGACCCCUUUGGAAACAAACAACUACUCUACUGCACUUUAGGGCACCACUGUUAUCUAACAGUCCUUGGAGUCAGGAGAUGCGGAGCAGGCUCUAUUAACCAAUCCAUGCCCUGGCAGAGGUCUGACAUCCACCAGACAUGCCUAAGUCCUGAUCCCUUCUACAAUGAAGAGUCCAUUCAAACCUCCAGCAAACUUGAGAAGAAGCACCUGACUAAAGACCCUCAGCCUCUGGGGGCAGCAGAGCUCCUUCCUCCUCCCCAGCUUUCCCUUUGGCUGUGGUGGCUGUGGACAUCAGACACAACGCUGUAUUUACGACCCAGGGGCUUACUUGUCUCCUUUGCUCCAUUUCUCUCCACUUGGUGGCCUGUAAGCUCUCAGUCUCUGCAUCUCCUCCUUCCAGUGAGGAGGAGUUUCACUGCUGUCAUCAUCUUCCGACUCAGAAUGGGAUCUUGACCUUGGAGGUGUGUGAUAGCGCUUCAACACAGAGAGGGCAGUGACUGUCUAAGAGAGCCUCUUGUAGGACAGAGUCAGGCAAAAGUUUAAUCUGGGCACCAACUUAAGUAUUAACUGGAUACUAUGGAGUUACUUCAAAUAUAAGACACUGAGAGGCGAGAAAGACAAGACAUUUACCUGGAAUCCUUUAAUGGCUCCCGUUGCAGUCCUAACACAUUCUGGCCUCCAGUACUCCAUAGACUAAGAUUUCUCAAUAUACCUUUUCAUGUAUUACAUCACUGAAUAAUUAAAUCUACCCACAGCUGUAAAUGUAUGCGAUGGGAGUGAGUACCUUCCCAAACUAUGGGAAAUAAAAAACAAUUCCUUAAAUAAGUAAAA